GUUGUCCAUGCGUAUUUACCCUUCUUAAACAAGUUUUCAAGACGUUUGUCAACAGACCUAUAUUAAAUCUGAGCUGUUUAUAUCCUGGUACGGCCAUAUUUGAAACGUUCAUAUCUACUGAAGAUGUCUAAUGAAACAAAUCUACCCAGUCAGUAUGAUAGCGACUCUGGAUGUGAUCCAGCAUUCAUUGCUGAACAGCAACGUAUACUUGAUGAGGCUGCUGCCCGAGUUCAAUCUAGAACUGCCGAAGACGAUGACAGACAUACAUCUUCACUUAUUCGACCAACCCCUGACAGAGCUAGACCAGAGUAUUAUGUGCCCAUUAGUACUCAAGAUGUGGUGAUGAACCAGCCUGUGUUGCCCACAGUAACAACACAGAAACCAGAGUCCCACAUUGGGUUAUCUGUUUUCACGUUUUUGUGUUGUUGUAUGCCACUGGGAUUAAUAGCCAUAAUCAUGUCUUUAAAGUCUGCUAAUGCCUCAGAAAAGGGGAAGUAUGAAAAAGCCAGAUUCUUCUCCAAAACAGCUCAUUGGUUUAACGUGGCAUCCAUCGCAACAGCUUUAAUCAUUCUGAUGAUUGUUCUGAUUAUUAAAAACGUUAAUAAGUAAAGCUACAGGUAUUAUGGCUAUUAGAGUAACAAUCAUAUUUUCAACUCCACGGCUUACACAAAGAAAAGGGUACACUUAUUACAGUUAGAUUUUUGUUCUCUGAAAUUUUAUAUGAUUUGUUUUGGGUUAUUUUCUAAUUUUAUUUUACACAUUUGUUUAUGUGAGUUGUGUUUAUGAGUUUUAGAUGUACAUGUCUUUUUUAUUGUAUUUUGUACAUUGUCUGUAUAUCUCUCUUUUUUAUUUCGAUACAAGUUUUUAUAUCUAUAGUGUAAAGCCGCCCGCGACACAGUAUUGUAGAAAUGGUGAUAUAUAAAUAAAUAAUUAUUUUCAUUAGAGAAUAAAGUAAAGGCAAUUGAGAUUAAAAGAAGAUUAUUUCAGACCGAAAUUCAAACCAAAAUUAAAUGCACUGAAAUAUUUUUAUAAUCGUAUCAUUUCACUUAAUUUGAUACUUAUGUAAUCGACGUUAUAUUUUAUAUAUCCAUGACAAUGAAGAAGAAACAUGUUGGUAAUAAAAUAAAAGAUUUGGAACUCAA